UUUUUUGUAUUUUUGCAUUGUUUAUAAUUGUUAAUGGUGGUUCUAGGUCACUAGGUCCAUGGAACAUUGAGUCACUGCAAUGGAGUUUUUGGCAAUUGCAGGGCAAGUUCCUUUGUAGUUUUUUUCUUCUUCAUAUUUUAGGUUUAUAAAAAUCCAAAUUGGUUAAGCUAAUGUUUUUUGUCUUGGCUAGGCCAGUGGAUUUUUGUUGCAAUG
rnacentral:misc_RNA from 1 species